GUACUUCCGGCUUUACGUGCAGAUAGUGGCAAGGGUGGACUGAGGAGCUUUGUGGGGAAGCCGCUAAGUGUUUAGGAAGACGUGCUUAAUAAACGUCUGCAUCCGUGCCUCGUGAGUCGUCGUACAGGUGCGGGUCAAUGUGCAAGGGACGUUACAGUGGGCUGCUGUAGUGGGCUGCUGUAGUGGGCUUUUCGCUUGCUGUGUGGCUUUCCUGCGCUAUGUGCAUCGUUUACACCGCUUUGAUGUUGGCUUGACUGCUCUGUGCUACAUCACCUGUGCUCUGCAUUGUCUGCUUCGCUGGGUUUAGCUGGACAUUGUUAAUUUACGUUCCUGUUCUCUGGAGCUGUGUUACUUCCUUUUGGCACCAGCUGAUUGACAUUUUGCUGCUCUUGUAUGCUAACAGUUUCUUGUUGCAGCAUUUAACUACCCGCAGGAUCAGCUGGACCGGGGGCAUGUGUUUAUUUACAACGGUAAUGUGAGUAAUUAGAUUUGUGGCGUGUUACAGGGUAGUCAUUACCUGAUUCUUUGUGUUGUGAUUUAAUCACUUAUUUUUGCAUUAGUUGUAUUCUUUUAUGCAGAUUAGCAUCUUGUGGUGGUGGGUUCCUUACCUGAUUGCAGUGCAGUGUUCACAGAGUGGGGUGGCCAGUGGCAGCAGAUUAGCAUCUUGUGGUGGUGGGUUCCUUACCUGAUUGCACUGCAGUGUUCACAGAGUGGGGUGGCCAGUGGCAGCAGAUUAGCAUCUUGUGGUGGUGGGUUCCUUACCUGAUUGCAGUGCAGUGUUCACAGUGAGGUGUGGUGUGCUGUGGUGCUUGUGUGCACGUGUGAGUGUUCUCUCUGCUUAGGACCCUGUGUGCUCUCUGCUUAUGACAUCAGGCCUUCUCCCACCCUGAAGUGUUUGUCUUCUUUUCUGUUUUUACUAUUUGAUGUAGUGAAUAAAAUGUGAUUAUUUUAAAUAAUUUUUUUUUGUUAUUUACUCAACUCUGGUCUGAUACCUGACCCAGUCGUGAUGAACCUGUGUGCCUUAAGGUUGAGGGCAGUCCCGGAAAUAGCCCCCGGGUGGCGUAGUCGGUACAAAUUAUUAGUUGGUAACGCCGCAGUUGGCGUAGCCGGUACAAGUUACGAGUUCACAAUGCCACAUUAGCAUCAAGCUAAUUGUUUUAUUUCAAAAAGAUUCAAUGAAAAAACCUUCACACCUGUUCAUCCAUCCGUCCGUCUGUUCAUAUAACUGUUCAUCUCUCAAAAGUAGUGAACAUCUCAUUUCCAUCAGAAUGAAAAGUUCUUUUGUCAUUGUUCACAAACACGAUCAUCAAAAUGUGUAUUCAUGAUAUCAGUAUGAUGCUGCACAGUUUCAGUGUUUCCUGAUAUAAACUAUGGUUUGGAUCACAGAGACUGAAAUGCACAAGGCUAAAUUUCAGCAGCACAAAUUCAUUUUUUUGUUUUAUUUAUAUUGAUUGUAAAAGACCAGACAGGAUUCACACUUUUACUGUACUGUACAUGUGUUUGUUUGUUUCUUAGUUGUUGAUCCAUUUUCAGAAUGUAUAAUUCUGUGUUUUUCUCCGUCUGUAUUCAGUCUCCAACUGAAGCUUCAAGAUUCACCUUUGACCUGUUUUA